rnacentral:rRNA from 1 species
UACCGAGGAGCCAAGCGUUGUCCGGAUUGACUGGGCGUAAAGCGCACGCAGGCGGACGCGCGCGUGGGGUGUGAAAUCUGGCCGCUUAACGGCCAGGCGCCAUCCCAUACGGCGCGUCUGGAGUGAUGCAGAGGUCGGUGGAAUUGCCGGUGUAGUGGUGAAAUGCGUAGAGAUCGGCAGGAACACCCAGGGGGAAACCAGCCGACUGGGCAUCUACUGACGCUGAGGUGCGAGAGCGUGGGGAGCGAACCGG